rnacentral:rRNA from 1 species
AUCAGAUACCCGGGUAGCCUAACCGCAAGGGGGGCGCUUGCCACGGUGUGGCCGAUGACUGGGGUG